rnacentral:rRNA from 1 species
AUGGCGGCUGAUGUGGGGCGCAGGUACCAGGGGAGCGGUGUUAAGGCGCGGAUGCGGGCCGUGCGGGGCGCGGCACGGGAAGGAACGCCGGCCGCGGAAAUGGCCGUGGCGGCGACAAGAGCAAGUACUCUUGGAAGCAGAGCGAGGGCGACGGCGACCGCACCAUCUCUGCCUCAUCCAACCUCGCCUCUGCUUCGGAGGACACCUAUCGCUUGGAUGCGGCGGCGGCGCCAAGGCACCAUGAUCCCCAGGAUGGAGGUGUCUGGGUGGAGAAGAAGCGCUCGGCGACGGCAUCGGAGCACACAGGGAGCGGGCACCAGACUUCAUCCCCGACCCGCCGCCCGCAUGGCAAACAGAAUAUCUCUCAGGUGCCUCCUACCAAAAAUCCUAUCCCCUGCCCCAUAUGCAAGUCAAAUGAACAUCCUCCUACUCGAUGUCCUCAAGCUUUUCGUGAGCGAUGCAAAAAAUUAG